CUGCUUGGAGAUGAAGAGAUGGUAUCCUACAUCCUUACCGGCCUCUACAUCAAAUUCAAUCCACUUGUGUCGGCAAUUGUCGCACGUGUGGAACCGGUGACGGUGGCUGAACUGUACUCUAAACUUUAGAGGUUUGAGU